GUGACAGCGAGACUCCGUCUCAAAAAAAAAAAAAAAAAACACACAAACAUGGACACCAAGUAUUGGUGGGUGAGUGGAGUGGCUGGAACCCACAUACACGGUCGAUGGGAGCUGCACCCUUUGGAAAUCAUUUCACAGUUUGUGCUCCAUCCUGGCCAAACCCACAGCUGGAGUCUUUCCAAAAACAGUGAUGGGAGUUUCCACCAGGGAGUGCCUCAAACCAUCCCGAGAUGGAGCUGGUUGGGAUUCCAGGGAAAGAGGUGCUCGUCGCCAGGGUGAUCCAUCCAGAGCACUUACUAGGGGAUCUGGCAUAAGGAGGGCUGCAGUGUGUCCUCAGGACAGAUACUGUAUCUUUGGGACAGACAGCAAGACGGGGAUUCCACCUAGGUCUGUCUGCAGUGAGUUGAUAUGAGAGUUUAAGGAACUUGGACCAGGGCUGCUUCGUUUCAGGGUUUUGGGCAACGACCUAAACACCUUUAUCAGUGCCUGGGAAUGCUCAAGGCCCAGCUUGAGUUCAGGCCUGCAGGGAAAACCUGCAACUGGCCUGCAGAGUGGUCAGGGCACAGAAAGAAAGCCAGAAGCUGGGGACAAACCUGCCGUAUGAUCCAGCUGUUUGCCUUUACCUGGGAGAAAUGGCACCACCUGGCUGAACAUAACUUAUUACACACCCAUGAGUCCUCCUGGACAGAUGUCAAUGGUUAAUGACCGCCCAAGCAGAAGCCAACCCUCUUCAUGAAGGGGCCACAGAUCACCCCGAACCAGAAAUCCACAGAACAGCCAAGGCCACAGCGGAACCGAGCGGGCCACGCCCCUGCCUCUGGGCCGCUUGGGGCCGGGCCUCCCUGACCCCGCUGGCUCUAUCGUGAGGACUCAGGGUGGAGCUCUGCUGGGCUCAGUGGCCUUCACAGCCGGGGCCCACAGACCCGGGUCCUAUGGGCAGUACUGUGCUCACCUAGAGGCCACGGUCCACGCCCCGUCUCCAGCAGGCCCAAGUCACCUGUCCAUGGCGAAGGCCUGGCCUUGCUUCGGGCCCUGGGGGCUCUCCCUCUGCCCACUGUUUCUUCCCAGGUGACAGAGGCCGGAGAGCAGGCGAGCCACGUGCCGGGUGCCGCAGCAGGGGGCACUCCAGGCUGGGGACACUCCAGGCUGGCGCCCCUCCACCUCUCCGUGGGCUCUGACCUUUCUUCUCCCCGCCUGGGCAGCCUCCUUCAGGUUGGGGAGUCUUUUGUUGACCCCUGGAUUAAAGUCCUCAUCAGGAAUGACCCGGAAGAGGUCUGAUGAGUCUUUCCUCAAGAGAAGAAAGUGUCCCUGAGUAUCAGCAAGUGGCCCCAUUCCCUGCACGGCAGUCUUCUGUGACCAGCGGCUGACACCGCGAAGGAGGGCCUGGCAGCCCCCACAGGCCACUGCCCCGAGGCCGCCACGAGAGGGCAGGAGAGCCCUUCCUGGGAGCUCUGUGCCACGGGAGCAGGAGAAACGCGGCUCCACCAAGCACAGCAUGGAUGGGUCCAGCAGGGAAUGGAGAGAGGCCCCAGCACAUGAGAGAAGAGCACCCUGGGCGUCCCCUGUCGGAGCCUCUCGUGUCCCCAGCGACCCCUGAGAGCAGGCCCUGGGCCUCUAGUGGCCCCUUCCGGAGCCACUGCUCAACUGCUGACCUGCUCCCAGCUCCUCUGUGCCCCGCCCAGCUCCCUGCAAAACCUCACCUGAGGGGAAGGAGGCCCCAUUUAGGCGCAGACGCAGCAGGUGCAGCUUGUGGUCCUGGGACCACACCUGUUAGAGCCCAUCCUUCCACCCCGGCUGGGCCCUGAGUAUCGUCCGUCCCCACAGAACUCAGCAGGGUCAGGUCUGAGCACUCCAGGCCGCCAGCCCCCUGAGUGAGCUCUGGGCCCGAGGUAGAUGUGGGUCACAGGCCCCCCGGCGAGAACACCCACAGCGGGUAGAUGUGUGGGGACCGGAUGUGGGUCCUCUCCUGAGAGACGUGCAGAUGGGGAGAGGCCGGGCAGGUCUCAGCAUAGCUGGAGCAUCUACCUGUCACCACCUCGGAGCCUCCUGGCCCCAUGGGAGUGGCCCUGGGAGCAGGGCUGGCAGUGAAGAGCAGAGAAAGGCAGUUGGGGACGUCGCCCCUGUCCACCGAGACCACCCUGCCGUGGAGACGAAGGAGCUGUCCCUUCGCGGAGCGGGGCUGGCCAGUGGGAAGGACAGAGUGGACUGGCCGAGGACCGCUGAGCUCAGGACCCAAGGAGGACUCUCCUAGGAGACGAGAGAGCAAACGCCGGGGACUCUGUGCAGGCCUGCUCCUCUGCUUGCAAAGUAAGUUACCCGGUUCACGCGUUUGGAGUUUCUGGACUCGUUGCAGAGUUCCACCCCUGCACGUCGCUGUUCCCCAGUAAUCAAAUCCUGGCUUUUGUGCCUGGAAGUGCACAGGGAGGGGACAACUUUGUGAGUCAGUGGCGGGGCAGGGAGUUCUGGUUCUCCAGGGCCGGAGGCCGUGCUCAGAAGGGUUUCUUAGCAGGAGCUUCGGGGCCCCCAGUCAACACUUCUUACAGGCAGCCUGGCCAGCUCUGUGCACGAAGGAGGCGCCCGAGGGUCCCAGGCCACCAAGUGACCAAGACGUGAAGGCGCCCAGGGUUUCCUGGGGGUGCGCUGAUCCCAAGGCAGCCACGUGUGGUCAGCAUGGGGGGGGACCAGUGCCCCGGGGGACCUGCAGCACAGCAGGGCCUGCCCUCCUGGGUGAGACUGGCCGGCGGGCUGUGGGGAUCUGGGGGGGAUACAGUCAGGGUUCUGUGCUCCUGAGGGCUACGCCAACCCACCUGCCCUGAAACAGAACCCGAGCCUUCUGCCUAGGGGGGCACCUGGGCACCUGCUUUCUGUCCUGCCCUGGACACAUCCCAGCGGCUGCACAUGGGGGAGGCACAGCCUGGGCUCAGGGCCAGGGUCCACUCUGCGGGGAUACUAGACCCAGGGGAGCUGUGGGUGUGGGGAGGAGACCCCCUGCGUCACGCUGACGGUGUCGGCAGUCGCCAGCUUUUGCAGGAGCGGAACCUGGGGGUUCUGUGACUUGUUUAACCGCAUCUUUUGCCCGGUACUUGGUCUUUUCCUGGUGGGACACCGUGUUGGUAGUUUGGAAAUGGUUUCUUCCAUCCGUUGCCAGCUCAGAACUUCCCCCCACACCUGGGCUUCUCCAGCCUGAGCUUUCCUGGGGAACGGAGGGCCUGUCCUUCCUCAGCACUGUGGGAGGGAGGCAAGGCCUGCGGUUGAAGUGCCCCCAACAUGGGGCUCCAGGAGAGAAAGCCCCACGUCUCAGGGAAUGAAAACAGAGACGGGGCCGCCCACAUGCACUCGGUGGCUCAGAAAUCAUUAAAAAAAUGUUCUGAGCCCCCGAUUUUGGCUGUAAAAGGGACUGACUGGCUCGUGACCGCUCCCCUGUCUGUGCCUUGAGACGGGAGUGUUCAGUGUUGGGGGCGGCUUUCCCUCCAAGAGGAGCUUCACAAACAUCCGCUCUCUGCAGGGUCGCCUCUCCGUGGCCUGGGGCCCCUGUUGGAGGAAGGCUGUCCAGCUGCCGUCAUCUGGGAAACGUAGGGGGCGAGCAGAGGUCACGGAUGGGGCUCACUGGGGGCUGUGAGAAUCUGUCCCGUAGGACUUUCUGGGAUGGAAACGCUGGCAGAGGUGAAAAGUGCGUCAUGUGCUUCACUGAACCCGGCUGCUUAUUUAUGUUUGGAGGGCUGGUUUCAAGGACUCCUCGUCUCCCUCUCCGAUGAUGGCGUCAGCGGAAAUGCAGUCGGGGACGGGGCUGCUGGGUUUCCUCCCUGGAACGAAGGACAGCCGGAGGUUUUGCUGAUUCACGAGCAGGCCCUGACCACUGAGUUCAGGGUAACAAACCCACAUGGACCCUGAGUCCGCGUAGCUCCCUGGGCCUCAGCAUCAACAUCGUAAACCUCCUGGCUCUGGCAGUGUCUGUUUCAUCCCCUCCAGAGCAAGUGCAAGUGUGAGGUUUAGAGAUUCUAAGAGGAGAAGGGCCAGAGGUCUCGAAAACGACCUUCAUUCGUUCAUUCAUUUGAGAAAUUUGCGAGGGCCUCCGUGUCCGCGUUUGGUGGGGCCUAGGACGCAGAUGUGAAGGGCGCUGCUCUCAGGAGCAGACGGAGGUGUAGAUGAAUCACUACACACCCACCUCGGGCCCACAGAGGAGUAUGUGGGGAGCUGUGGGUGUGGGGAGGAGACCCCCUGCGUCACGCUGACGGUGUCGGCAGUCGCCAGCUUCUGCAGGAGCGGAACCUGUGGGUUCUUCUGUGACUUGUUUAACCGCAUCUUUUGCCCGGUACUUGGUCUUUUCCUGCUGGGACACCGUGUUGGUAGUUUGGAAAUGGUUUCUUCCAUCCAUUGCCUGCCUUUUAGCUUUGUCGGUGGUGUUCUGUUGUAAACUUUGGCACGUGUUUAAUGUGAACAACAGGAGGUGAGUGCCAUGAGUUCCUGUGUGCCUGUCACCCAGCCCGGCCACCAGAGGUGCUGGGGGCAGUGUCCACACCCCCCUUUCUUAGGACGCCUGAGUCUCAGGUGUGACUUAUAGGGUAUUUCUUGUGGCAAGACGGUUACAACAAACUUCAGCGUCUCGCCUGUCCUUCUGUGGCUAUGGCUUCUGAUCUUCUAAUGGCUUUCUCGUCAGCCGGGGCUGAGAACAAAAUAACAUAGACGGCAGGGCUUAAACAGCAGAAACUUACUUCCCACGGUUCUGGAGGUUGGGAGUCUUGGAUCACCAUGUCGCGUGGUCAGGUUCCUGGUGAGGGUGGGAUUCCUGGCUAACGUACCCACCUUCCCAAGGCUCCCUCUCCUGAUACCGUGUCACUGGGGGUGAGGCUUCAACACAGGAAUUUGGGGGACACAUCAGCAUUCACUCCAUCACAAAUGGUUAGCCCUUUAAUCCGCUGGAAUUUUGUUUGGGGUUGUGUGAGAUACGGGUCUGACAUUUUCUUUUUCAAAUACAUAGCCAGUUGUCACAUGAUUUAUUGAAAAAGGAAUCUUUUCUCCACCGACUGACAUGAAAUGCUACUGUCAUCGUAAACAAAAUUCCCGUAAAUAGUUGCCGUCUCUGCUGUCUCAGUCCUGACUCACGGGCUGACUUCUGUUUCUGCACAGUAGCACUGGCAUUAACUGUGACAGCUUUACAGCAGGCCCCCUCCCCGAGGCCGUUCAGAAGCAUUCCUCAGCGGGUCCUACAUGUUUCCUCUCCCAUGUCAAGUUUAGAAGCAGUGUCAAGACCCACAGCAGUCCUGUGGGAGUUUUAAGGGAUGCACGGAGUUUAUGGGGACAGUUUGGAAAAUUGACAUUCAUGUGACUUAGAGUCCUACUACUUGAAAAUGGAUUCCAGCUCUCAACGAAUUUAGAGCUUUGGCAAAAUUUUUAAGAUUUCUUUGAUGUCCGAUGUGCUCAUUUCUUGGUUUGUUCUUGAGUAUUUUAUGGAUUUUUAUGAAACCCACAAAGUUUUUGUUAUAAUGAAUGGGACACUUUCCCAUAAAAUGUUGUAAUUCUGUAUUGCUGUUUUAAUAAACACUGUUGAUUGAUGUAUAUUGAUGUUACACUUGGUCACUUGUAAUAGUUUGUCCAUUCAUUAUUUUGAACUUUUUAGGUAAACAGUCAUAUAAUUAUGCAAAUAAUUAUAGUUGUAUCUCUGCCUUUCUAAUAUUUAUAGUUUGUAUAUAUUAUCAUGUUGGCCAGGACUCAAGUAUAAAAUCAAGCAUCUUUCUCUUGUUUCUGACUAAUGUGAAUGAUUCUAAUGCAGGGGUUCCCAAACUGGUGGCCGGGGGGCCAAAUCCAGCCAAUGGUCUCUUCUUGUAAAUAAAGUUUUAUUGGAACACAGUUACACCCAUUCUUCUACAUAUUGUCUGAUGGCUACUUUCAUGCCACAGCAGUAGUGUUAAAUAGUCCAGACAGAGGCAUUGUUGCCUGAAAAACCUAGAAUAUUCACGAUCUGAGCCUUUACAGAAAAGUUUGCUAAUAUCUGUUCUCAUGUAUUAAAUACAAUGUUUGUUACAGGUUAAGGAAGUUUCUAUUUUUAGCUUUCUGAAUAUCUUGUGGUUGUGUGUGCUUUAAAAUUAGGACUAAAUAUUAAAUUUACCAUAUGCUUGUUAGGGGCCUAUCUUUUGAGAUGCCCAAAGUUUCCCUUUUUUAGUCUCUUCAUGUAGUGAGUUGUACUAACAGAUUCUCUAAUGUUGAACCAUCUUUGCUUUCCAGAGAUAGACUUUACUUGCUCCUGAUAGAUUGGAUUCUGUUUGUUAAUACUUUUAUUUUUGGGUAAUUACCUCCCUAUUAUAAAUAAUAUGUCAGCAUCA